GUAAAAUGUCCUCUGUGUCCAUUGCCGAGGAAUAAACCUCGCAGAAAGUGUCGGCAACGCCUGUACGUGAUUGCUUCCUCUGGCUGGCCUAAUCCAUAAGGAAAGGAAGAUGGAACAGCAAAGUCACUUAAGUCGUGGUCCAGCUCAUGGCAAAAGUGGAAGGAAAGUUCAAAACAGCACAUCUGAUUGUAAAAACACUCAUACACUGUGGGAAGACAAACUUUGCAGCGCAAGAAUCUUACUGUGAAAAGGACUGAGCCACAGCUAAAACUGUAGAUAUUUGCUAGAGAGGGAAAGCACUGCCUCCCAGGUGUGAUGAAGCCACCAGUCUUUGAUGACCAUUGCAGCCUCUUUUACCAGCCACAAGGUGAUGGUGCUAUAAACCAGUUUAGUUGAGGUAAUGCUCACACUGUUCUGGAGACCAAGCCAUUCUCAAGAGCCAGGAAAUCAGCAAGAGACCUAGGAAAACAAGUUACCUAUAGAGGCUUUAAAUCCAACACUAAGAGAAGCAUUGCUUUAUCUUCAAGAAAAUGUGGCAAGCUGGGAAAUAAGUAAUUCUGAAGGACAGAAACUUCCUGAAUGCACUUUCCAUCUGUCUGGUAGUUUUAUUAGCAACAAUCUGUGAAAAACAAACCUGUGCUACUGACAAGCCCCCAUGCCAGCUCAUUCCCCAGAGUAUCCAUCAAUAAUAUUCUGUGGAAACUAGAAAGAAGCCAGGACUGUGACAAAAGACCAGAGCAGCAAAAAUUUCCUCUUCUGGAAACACACAUCCAUGUCUGUGCUGGGCUACUCUCCUGCAGCUGAAGGCGACUCUGCAAGGUGAUCAACCCUCCUGAACAGCAGUGCUGCACGUGACUGGAAGAGCAGCAUUUCCCUGAACUCUGGGAGCAGCCAAACUCCUUGGCAUUCCUUAAGGGCAGGUGCUGUGAAUUCUUCUGGAGUGUGUACCAUACUUGUUCUGUAGAGUCGAGGGCUAAGAGACAGCAUUGACCAUGUUUAUCUCUCUCCUUUGGCAAAAGUAGUUGCUUCAUUUUGUUCACAUUAUAGUAGGGAUGAGAAGGGAAACUGGGAUGUUUCCACAACACCUUUGGUAGCAAAAAGAAUAAAGACAGGAAAGAGAGGUGACUGAAGAGGAAGAGGGCAUCAAACGGAAAGGAAACUGGUAAGAGGCAAAAACCAGAGAGAUGAUGAUUACAGAAGUAGUGACAACCCUGGAAAGGGAACCCUGCUAAAAUUUGUGUUUGUUACUUCAAUUUAAGCUUUCUUAGACCUUGGAAGUGCUUUUAAUGUCAAGUUUUUCCUGAUAUGUGUGAAACAAAAAGCUUCCAAAAGCAGAAUACCAGAACAAGGCCUGCACUGCUUUGUCUUCAGGAGGUGUCCAAAGAAGUCCCUUUCUUUCCUUAAAGUGUGUGCCUCUGCUAGGAUGUAAAGAAACAGGCAGAGGUAUGAAUGAAAUAUGCAUCAAGGCGGCUGCUGGCCUCACAAAAAAAUGAGGUAUAUAUUUAAUGGGAAAAUAUAUGUCUUCUCCCCUCCCUCUUCCACUCCCUGCAAGCAACUCAGUCUGGAGUGAGAGUCACAGAUCCUUUAAAGGACAGUGAGAACGCAUUUGCUUCUUCCUAAGGAGAAUGAACGUUGUGUGUAGAGCUGAAGAAAUUGCUAAGAACAGAGGAAGAAAAGAAGUUGGGCAGGAGAUGAGCUGGUAUCAGAGCUUAUAACUGAGCAUAUACAUUGCUCUAUUUCUUUAUUUUGUCUCAUCUGAUGUGGUGACUGAGGCGAGUGUGGUGAGCUCAAGACAUGAAAGUAGAAACUCCAGCCCAUGAGCAAAUCUGGGACCCAAAAUGAUGGAGAAGAGUGGGUAGAGGAGAAAGCAAGUACAGUCAUCCUUAUUAUAUUAAACAUUACAAAUUUAGUCGAGGGCUUUCCAGCAACACCUAAUCAUUAUUAAGCACUUACCAAGUAAAAUUUCCUUGGAAUUUUAAGGAGAGUAAUUUAUCCUGCUGAUAAAAUAAAAAUUAAA